rnacentral:rRNA from 1 species
GACGAACGCUGGCGGCGUGCUUAACACAUGCCAGUCGAACGGAAAGGCCCUGCUUUUGUGGGGUGCUCGAGUGGCGAACGGGUGAGUAACACGUGAGUAACCUGCCCUUGACUUUGGGAUAACUUCAGGAAACUGGGGCUAAUACCGGAUAGGAGCUCCUGCUGCAUGGUGGGGGUUGGAAAGUUUCGGCGGUUGGGGAUGGACUCGCGGCUUAUCAGCUUGUUGGUGGGGUAGUGGCUUACCAAGGCUUUGACGGGUAGCCGGCCUGAGAGGGUGACCGGCCACAUGGGGACUGAGGUACGGCCCAGACUCCUACGGGAGGCAGCAGUGGGGAAUAUUGCACAAUGGGCGGAAGCCUGAUGCAGCAACGCCGCGUGCGGGAUGACGGCCUUCGGGGUGUAAACCGCUUUCGCCUGUGACGAAGCGUGAGUGACGGUAAUGGGUAAAGAAGCACCGGCUAACUACGUG